rnacentral:rRNA from 1 species
UACGGAGGGUGCGAGCGUUGUCCGGAAUCACUGGGCGUAAAGCGCGCGUAGGCGGCGCGACAAGUCAACGGUGAAAGCUCGGCGCUCAACGCCGAGUCGGCCGUCGAUACUGUUGGGCUUGAGCACUGUAGAGGCUAAUGGAAUUCCGGGUGUAGCGGUGGAAUGCGUAGAGAUCCGGAAGAACACCGGUGGCGAAGGCGGUUAGCUGGGCAGUUGCUGACACUGAGGCGCGACAGCGUGGGGAGCAAACAGG